UACGAAGGGGGCUAGCGUUGUUCGGAAUUACUGGGCGUAAAGGGCGCGUAGGCGGCGUGUCAAGUCAGGCGUGAAAGCCCCGGGCUCAACCUGGGAACCGCGCUUGAGACUGGCAUGCUCGAGUUCGGGAGAGGAUGGUGGAAUUCCCAGUGUAGAGGUGAAAUUCGUAGAUAUUGGGAGGAACACCGGUGGCGAAGGCGGCCAUCUGGACGGCUAUUGACGCUGAGACGCGAAAGCAUGGGGAGCAAACAGG
rnacentral:rRNA from 1 species